AAUGCCCAGCUUGAGAAUCUGGCGGUCCUCUGGCCGUCCGAGUUGUAAUCUGGAGAAGCGUUUUCCGCAUUGGACCGUGUACAAGUCUUCUGGAACGGAGCGUCAUAGAGGGUGAGAAUCCCGUCUCUGACACGGACUACCAAUGCUUUUGUGAUACGCUCUCGAAGAGUCGAGUUGUUUGGGAAUGCAGCUCAAAAUGGGUGGUAAAUUCCAUCUAAAGCUAAAUAUUGGCGAGAGACCGAUAGCGAA
rnacentral:rRNA from 1 species